CCUACGGGUGGGCAGCAGUGAGGAAUAUUGGUCAUUGGGCGAGAGCCUGAACCAGCCAAGUCGCGUGAGGGAGUACUGCCCUAUGGGUUGUAAACCUCUUUUGUCGGGGAGCAAAAGCCGGACGUGUCCCGCUGUGAGAGUACCCGACGAACAAGCAUCGGCUAACUCCGGGCCAGCCGCCGAGGUACUACGGGGGAUGCGAGCGUUAUCCGGAUUUAUUGGGGUAAAGGGGUGCGCAGGCGGAUGUUUAUGUCAGCGUGAAAAUCGUGGGGCUCAACCCCAACCAGCCGUUGAAACUGGGGAGCUAGAGUGUGCGAGAGGUAUGCGGAAUGCGUGGUGUAGCGGUGAAAUGCAUAGAGAUCACGCAGAACCCCGGUGGCGAAGGCAGCAUACCGGUGCACAACUGACGCUCAGGCACGAAAGCGUGGGUAGCGAACAGGAUUAGAUACCCGGGUAGUC
rnacentral:rRNA from 1 species